GUAUUACAUAUUAAUAGGUACAUUAUAAAAUAUUUAAAUAUAAAAUUAAAUCGUCUGCAAUCUGAAUCAAUAGUUAUUAGUUAUUUUUUUUUCAUAAGACAACAUGGACUCUUUAAUUUCUGAGAUGGAACAGUUGUUAUUGUCUGGUAGAGAGGACUCUAAUAUCCAAGACAUUAUAGAUUUGCUGUGUUACCAGUGUUCAAUAGGAGAAUCUGCAGGUAAAAAUAUUGAUGAUUUGUUAAUUGAAGCUGAUAAAAUAAUUGGUGAAACACUUCCAUACUUUCAAACAUCUUCAAAUACAAAUAAAGUUAUAACUUCAAAAGACUUUAAAAGUAUACAAAAUAAUACUAAAAUUACACCAACACAACCUAAACUUCAAAGGAGUGAUACAAAAAAAGUUAUUUUUAAUUUGAAUAGUAAUUCUCAAAGUACUUUGAUCCCAGAGAAACAUUCAGAAAUCCAUGGAAAAUUAACUAUAAACAAAUGUAUUAAAGAAGAGGGAAAAAAAAAUAUUUGUUCUUCAUCUUUAAAAAAAUGUACUGCUGAGUUAAAGGUUCCGGAUGCUGAAGUAAAUAUAAAAUCCCAUUUUAAAGUGAGCUCAUCUAUGUUGGAAAAUCACAAUCGGCUACAAGUUAUGUGUAACAGACAUGAUAAAUUUGCUAAUAAUAUGAAAACACCGGACCAAAUUAAUAAAUUAAAAACGGAAGAAGAAUUAAAAUACUAUAAAAUGAAAAAUAAUGAACUUGAAAAAAAUCUUAUGUUUAAAGAACAAGAAAUUCACAAUUUGGAAAAUCAAUAUCAGCAAUUAAGUCAGUAUUGUGAAUCAUUUUUAAAAAAAAAUAUUGAAGAGACAUUGAAGAGUUACGAUUGUCAAUUAAAUGAACUAAUUGAACGCAAUAUGACUAGAGAAUCACAAUUGCAUACCAUAAUUGGUAAUCUCCUUGAUGAAAUUGAACAGUCACAUAAUCAAUACAGAAUAAAACUAUCAGAAAAAAAUAAACAAAUACGCAAUUAUCUUGAUCAAAUAGAAACGAUACUUGAUAAUUUUUACAAAUUUAAAAGUAACAAUAUAAAAAUAUAACAUUUGAUUGGUAUUGACAUGACAAUAAUUUAAAAAAGGAAUUUUGCAUUGUGUGUGAACAGAUGAGUUAUGCACACAUUAAAAGAUUGAGCACAAUCAAGCCAGUUUACUACAAUACUAAGGUUAAAUGGUUAAAACUAACAACAAAAGAUUGAUUCUGCUGAGCGAGAGGGAAAACAAAUAGUGCGGCCGUGGACCGAGUAAAUCGUAGAGACUCAUUCCGAUGAACUGAUGGAUUUGGGUGAUAAGUUAAUGGUUAUAUAAUAUAUAUUAUGAUCUAUCUUAUACAAUAAUAUGACUGAUCAAAAAGUACUUACAAGUUAUUUUCCGAAAUCGUGCACACGUUUGCAUUUGACUGUGAAAGAGCCAAGAAGAACACAACGCCAACUACGAUUGAUAGAAUCCUAAAAUUAUACCAAUUGACAGUGUUAAUUUAACGAUAUUUAAUCAUAUAAUUUAUACAUAUUAUAAAAUACUCGUAUGCGUGUACGAAAAUAUUAAUAAUUUUAUAAUAUUGUAACUAGAACAUAACGGUACGAAUGUAUAAAAAUGUAAAAAAAAAUACGAAUGUGCAAAGUAUACUCUUUGCUCCAAGUUCGUGAACUUACGUCUUAUUCAUCUUGUGUAUCGACGACGAUGUCCUAAAGUCACAAUACACAUCUGGGGACCUCGACGAGUGCUUUUUAUACCAGAAAGAUAGGUGUAAAUUUUCCGGUUGCUUUCAUAUAUGAUGCGUGUUUUCCAACCCAACGGUCUGUACCCUAUUCGUUAUGUUACCUAUUUAUUUUCAAACCCUUAUCCGGGUUAAACCAAAUCACUUCCACACACAGGACCAACUUAACCCUACACUAUAUCGUGGUGAAUAUUUUUCGAAUCAUUGCGCUCAGAGAUAGCAACAAUGUUAGGUGUAAUGUAUAUUAUUACCCUGCUGCACUGAUCCAUAAUAUUAUUAUAUGUGUAGGAGUACUAAAUACGCUUGAAUGGGCAUUGAAUCCGAUUAAUUUUUCGAACAUAUUAUGCCAUAAAGUUUGAUAUAAAAAAAUAUAUUUUAUGAUCUUCUAGUACCAUGUGUAAUCACAUAAUGCGGAAUAUUGACGAUACACGAUCUAUCACCUAUAUAGAAACCGGUAGAUAAAGGUGAAUUUUGCAACUUAGAUAGACAAUAUAAUAUUAUAUAAAUGUACAACUCGUUAAUUUCAUAAUUUAAAAUUUAUUAUUUUCCACUUAUUUGUAAGUAAUUUUAUAGUGAUUUAUACACCUAUUAUUUUUUUAAUGCCACAUCAUCAUAGGUACUAAGGUUAAUAUUGAAAUAUUAUGUUACAUGACAA